AAUGAGCCUGCGAGUUGUGGUGUCUGGCAAGGUUAAGCAAACGCGAAGCCGUAGCGAAAGCGAGUCUGAAUAGGGCGCUUAGUCAGAUGCUGCAGACCCGAAACGAAGUGAUCUAUCCAUGAGCAAGUUGAAGCUAGUGUAAGAACUAGUGGAGGACUGAACCCAUAGGCGUUGAAAAGCCCCGGGAUGACUUGUGGAUAGGGGUGAAAGGCCAAUCAAACUUCGUGAUAGCUGGUUCUCUCCGAAAUAUAUUUAGGUAUAGCGUUGUGUCGUAAUAUAAGGGGGUAGAGCACUGAAUGGGCUAGGGCAUACACCAAUGUACCAAACCCUAUCAAACUCCGAAUACCUUAUAUGUAAUCACAGCAGUCAGGCGGCGAGUGAUAAAAUCCGUCGUCAAGAGGGAAACAACCCAGACUACCAGCUAAGGUCCCUAAAUCUUACUUAAGUGGAAAACGAUGUGAAGUUACUUAAACAACCAGGAGGUUGGCUUAGAAGCAGCCAUCCUUUAAAGAAAGCGUAAUAGCUCACUGGUCUAGUGAUUUUGCGCGGAAAAUAUAACGGGGCUAAAGUAAGUACCGAAGCUGUAGACUUGCGCACAACUUAGAUUAUUUAAGUUUAGAAUAUGAGAAACUAAGUUAUAUGUUUAGUUAUAUUUUUACUGAUUUUUAUAGAGUAAAGAUAGAAAUAAAACUUAGUAAAAUCAGUAAAAAUAUUCUUAGACUAAAGUUAAGUAGUUUAAGUUGUGUGCAAGUGGUAGGAGAGCGUUCUAUUUGCGCCGAAGGUAUACCGGUAAGGAGUGCUGGAGCGAAUAGAAGUGAGCAUGCAGGCAUGAGUAGCGAUAAUUAAUGUGAGAAUCAUUAACGCCGUAAACCCAAGGUUUCCUACGCGAUGCUCGUCAUCGUAGGGUUAGUCGGGUCCUAAGUCGAGUCCGAAAGGGGUAGACGAUGGCAAAUUGGUUAAUAUUCCAAUACCAACAUUAGUGUGCGAUGGAAGGACGCUUAGGGCUAAGGGGGCUAGCGGAUGGAAGUGCUAGUCUAAGGUCGUAGGAGGUUAUACAGGCAAAUCCGUAUAACAAUACUCCGAGAACUGAAAGGCUUUUUGAAGUCUUCGGAUGGAUAGAAGAACCCCUGAUGCCGUCGAGCCAAGAAAAGUUUCUAAGUUUAGCUAAUGUUGCCCGUACCGUAAACCGACACAGGUGGGUGGGAUGAGUAUUCUAAGGCGCGUGGAAGAACUCUCUUUAAGGAACUCUGCAAAAUAGCACCGUAUCUUCGGUAUAAGGUGUGGUUC
rnacentral:rRNA from 1 species